rnacentral:rRNA from 1 species
GCUGGCGGUAUGCUUUACACAUGCAAGUCGUACGAGAGUUUUUAACUCAAGUGGCGGACGGGUGAGUAACACGUAAGAAUUUGCCUUUAGGAGGGGGACAACAACUGGAAACGGUUGCUAAUACCCCAUAUGCUUUCGAGUGAAAUGGUUUUUCCGCCUAAAGAGAAGCUUGCGGCUGAUUAGCUUGUUGGUAAGGUAAUGGCUUACCAAGGCGACGAUCAGUAUCUGGUUUGAGAGGACGAUCAGACACACUGGAACUGAGACACGGUCCAGACUCCUACGGGAGGCAGCAGUGGGGAAUUUUCCGCAAUGGGCGAAAGCCUGACGGAGCAAUACCGCGUGAGGGAUGAAUGCCUAUGGGUUGUAAACCUCUUUUUUCAGGGAGGAACAAAAUGACGUGUACCUGAAGAAUAAGCAUCGGCUAACUCCGUGCCAGCAGCCGCGGUAAGACGGAGGAUGCAAGUGUUAUCCGGAAUCACUGGGCGUAAAGCGUCUGUAGGUGGUUUAAUAAGUCAACUGUUAAAUCUCGAGGCUCAACCUCGAAACCGCAGUCGAAACUAUUAGACUA